rnacentral:tRNA from 1 species
GCUCGGGUGGCGAAACUGGCAGACGCAAGGGACUUAAAAUCCCUUGGGGAGCAAUCCCCGUGUGGGUUCGAGACCCACCCCGAGCA